rnacentral:rRNA from 1 species
GACAGAGGGGGCAGGCGUUGCUCGGAAUCACUGGGCGUAAAGGGCGCGUAGGCGGGAUGGCAAGUCAGUCGUGAAAUCUCUCGGCUCAACCGAGAAACGUCGGCUGAUACUGCCGUUCUUGAGGGAUGCAGAGGAGACUGGAAUUCCCGGUGUAGCGGUGAAAUGUGUAAAGAUCGGGAGGAACACCGGUGGCGAAGGCGGGUCUCUGGGCAUCUCCUGACGCUGAGGCGCGAAAGCGUGGGGAGCAAACGGG